UCCAGAAUUCGUCAAUGACUCCACAUCCGAAUCAGUAGUAGCCUUGAUGCCGAUUGCUCGCUUCCAGACUCAUUCCUCGAUUCUUGAUCUCCGCUUGUGUUGAGUGGAGACCGAUCAUAUUAUGUGCGUCAGAUCGUUGGCAUCGAAUGAGACUGUUAUGGGAGGAACAUUGCCGCCGAAGGUGAUGUCUGCUAGGGCUGGCGAGGGCGAGUUCAAGGGCCAAGUCGUCUCGGUGAAGAUCAUCUCGAAAGUGAAGCUUGAACUGGAGACGAGGUCUGUGAAGUGAUCCUUUCCCCAAUGAACGAAUAUUAUAAGAAGUAAUUAUUGGGAUCCAGGAAGUGGCUUGUUUGAAUUACAGAUAGGGGAAGAACGUGGUCAAGGGCAACCUGAUAUGUGGUUUGGUCGAGAGCCUGGUACAACUCCGAUAAGGUACUCUGAUAUAAAUUUAUUUUCAUUGCAACUUGGAUGUGAUCCCUUCUCCUUUU